UACAGUCAACUAUCAUGGUGUCAACUUUUACACGCACAUGUUGAUAAUUUUUUAGCCAGUCGGGAAAAUCCUUGUCAGAUAUUGUCCAAACUCAAACUGCCAUAACUCCAGCAAUCCGAGGGGUCGGUGGUCUGUGGGCCAUGCUUGGGGUCCUGUGGUCAGUGGUCCGCGAUCACUCUGUUUUAGGCUACAAGCUGUGAACUGUCGCUUUUUGGGAUGAACACAUCGUAUUACGUAACUGUCGUCAUCAUCGUCUGCCAGUCUGCCGCCAUCUUGUCCUGCAGGAAUCCUGACCGUAAUGCACUUGGCUGCGUCUAUCUACAAAAAUACCUGCACCACGGCGACCUCUUCCACUCUGACGACUACUGCAAUGUGCUACGGUGCGACAAAGGGAGGCUAAUCCCGAUCAAAGGAAGCUGUAUUGACGAGAAUGGUGUCUGCUACAGAUUUGGGGAAAUUUUCUUAGAAAAUAUCGCCAAAACCUGGUACAAAUGUUACUGCGAGAUACAGAAGACCUACAGCCAAAACUGGAUCCGUAUAUAUAAAUGCUAUACGAAAUAAUGGUCUACUGUUUUAAACGCAGUCCAACUGUUUAAAGUGAUGGUCAAAUGUUAUUAAGUUAAGGUCCAAUGUUGUGUGUAUCCCGCACGGUCAAAUGAUGUAAUCUGUCAUUUAUAAGCUGACCUACCAUAAAAAAUAAACUGUUCAUGUU